GCUUGUCUCAAAGAUUAAGCCAUGCAUGUCUAAGUAUAAAUAAUUUUACUGUGAAACUGCGGAUGGCUCAUUAAAUCAGUUAUAGUUUAUUUGAUAGUCGCUUACUACAUGGAUAACCGUGGUAAUUCUAGAGCUAAUACAUGCGUAAAGACCCGACUUCUGGGAGGGUCGUAUUUAUUAGAUAAAAACCAAUGCCUCGUGCUUUUGGUGAGUCAUGAUAACUGCGCGGAUCGCAUGGCCUUGCGCCGGCGACGCUUCAUUCAAAUUUCUGCCCUAUCAACUUUCGAUGGUAAGAUAGAGGCUUACCAUGGUGUUAACGGGUAACGGGGAAUUGGGGUUCGAUUCCGGAGAGGGAGCCUGAGAAAUGGCUACCACUUCCAAGGAAGGCAGCAGG
rnacentral:rRNA from 1 species